UGAAGAAACCAACGAGUGGAGCAGGUCUCCUCUUUAGAUACGCUGAGAACAGGAGCAUCUGAAGGCCCGGUUCUGGGAUUUGGGACUAAGCCGACUCCGUUCCAGACUUCUGGGUUCCCUCUAUGAAAAGCUACCAGAAGUUUUAGCCAACUCUGGUAAGAGAAGCCACACGCCUCUGCGAGGGGAAGGGAUAUCAUCCUCUUCCAUCCCUGUCAAGCAGCGAUCUGCUCUGUAUCUCUCCCGGGUAGCAGCUGCUGCUGUUUCUGUCACCGGCCGUCCAACAGAGUGGAAUUUCAUACACAAGACCCCUUAUAACACUCUUGAUCACCAGUAAACAAGCAG